rnacentral:rRNA from 1 species
ACACAGGUGGUCGGGUAGAGAAUACCAAGGCGCUUGAGAGAACUCGGGUGAAGGAACUAGGCAAAAUGGUACCGUAACUUCGGGAGAAGGUACGCUCUCGACGGUGAAGUCCCUUGCGGAUGGAGCUAUUGAGAGUCGCAGAUACCAGGUGGCUGCAACUGUUUAUUAAAAACACAGCACUGUGCAAAAUCGUAAGAUGACGUAUACGGUGUGACGCCUGCCAGG